rnacentral:rRNA from 1 species
ACGGAAGGCAGCAGUGAGGAAUAUUGGUCAAUGGGCGAGAGCCUGAACCAGCCAAGUAGCGUGAAGGAUGACUGCCCUAUGGGUUGUAAACUUCUUUUGUUCGGGAAUAAAGGAGCCUACGCGUAGGCUUUUGCAUGUACCGUUCGAAUAAGCAUCGGCUAAUUCCGUGCCAGCAGCCGCGGUAAUACGGAAGAUGCGAGCGUUAUCCGGAUUUAUUGGGUUUAAAGGGAGCGUAGGCGGCCUUUUAAGUCAGCGGUCAAAUGUCAGCGCCCAACGCUGGCCUGCCGUUGAUACUGAUGGGCUUGAAUACACACAAGGAAGGUGGAAUUCGUCGUGUAGCGGUGAAAUGCUUAGAUAUGUCACAGAACACCGAUUGCGAAGGCAGCUGACUAAUCCGCAACUGACGCUCAGGCACGAAAGCGUGGGGAUCGAACAGGAUUAGAUACCCUGGUA